UUAACUUAUUAAAUGUUACUCAGACAAUAAAUGAUUCAGAGUGUUGGUUCUCUGGCAGGCACUAACUAGCCAAGGCCAGUAGCACAGAGGCAGGCCUGCCAAAGCAACAAAGUAUGUAAACAGAGGGUGGGAGAUCUACCCCAAAGGGCAAGUUCUCAGUAAUGAUCCUUCCGCAGGUUCCAACUUACUGCAAGCAACCAAGCUUGCAUCCGAUCAUAUCUUAACCCAGAGGGCCACCUCUAUUUGAUCUGUGAACUCCAAAGAGCCGCUGGUAGUACAAUACUGUAAAUUCCAGCAAGAUAGAGAUGUUGCCUGCCAAAGCAGACUGAUAGCCGCAGGCAAACCAAUACCUACGGAAA
rnacentral:misc_RNA from 1 species